GAUGAACGCUGGCGGCGUGCCUAAUACAUGCAAGUCGAGCGAACAGACGAGGAGCUUGCUCCUCUGACGUUAGCGGCGGACGGGUGAGUAACACGUGGAUAACCUACCUAUAAGACUGGGAUAACUUCGGGAAACCGGAGCUAAUACCGGAUAAUAUAUUGAACCGCAUGGUUCAAUAGUGAAAGACGGUUUUGCUGUCACUUAUAGAUGGAUCCGCGCCGCAUUAGCUAGUUGGUAAGGUAACGGCUUACCAAGGCAACGAUGCGUAGCCGACCUGAGAGGGUGAUCGGCCACACUGGAACUGAGACACGGUCCAGACUCCUACGGGAGGCAGCAGGAGGGAAUCUUCCGCAAUGGGCGAAAGCCUGACGGAGCAACGCCGCGUGAGUGAUGAAGGUCUUCGGAUCGUAAAACUCUGUUAUUAGGGAAGAACAAAUGUGUAAGUAACUAUGCACGUCUUGACGGUACCUAAUCAGAAAGCCACGGCUAACUACGU
rnacentral:rRNA from 1 species